rnacentral:tRNA from 1 species
GCCUGGCGGGCUCAGUUGGCAGAGCAUGUGACUUUUGAUCUUGAGGUCAUGAGUUUGAGCCCCAUGUUGGGUA